GAUGAAGAACGCAGCGAAAUGCGAUAAGUAGUGUGAAUUGCAGAAUUCCGUGAAUCAUCGAAUCUUUGAACGCACAUUGCGCCUUCUGGUAUUCCGGAAGGCAUGCCUGUUCGAGAGUCAUUAACAACCGUUUCGAUCCCUUUCUUUCAGAAAUUACAAAGAGGAAAAGGGUUUGGUUAUGGUGGAUGAGGGAAAGGGAGCGUUUAGCCUGUAAAAAAAGAGGCUGUGUUCCGCCUCCCCCCCAAAAUUGUACAGGCGGUCGUGUGCGCCCACGCAUCGAGGUGUUGUAAAAGCUGCCACGGCACUUUUCACCUGUGCAGUGCGAGAUUGGCCAGCCGGUUUAAAAACCCCUCCAAACAAUCAAAGGUUGACCUCGGAUCAGGUAGGGAUACCCGCUGAACUUAAGCAUAUCAAUAAGCGGAGGA
rnacentral:misc_RNA from 1 species